ACACAAUCAUCGAUAUUGAGCCAUCUGCAAGCGUUGACUGGGGUUUCUUAUACUACAAAUAAACUUGGAUAGUUUUGAUUUAGAAUUGAUCAGAAACAAGAUAAAUGAGUUUUACACUGUUUCUUUCUCUCAAAUAGGGAUCGAUGAAUAGCGAAAAUCUUGUGAACAUGUAAUAAAAAUUGAAAAUCAGUUCAUAGAACAAGAUCGGUUAAUUGAGAUGCAGGAGGAAAGGUUUAUUAUA